AAAGGUAAGCUACUAAGAGCGAAUGGUGGAUGCCUUGACUGGUAAAGGCGAUGAAGGACGUACUAGACUGCGAUAAGCUACGGGGAGCUGUCAAGAAGCUUUGAUCCGUAGAUUUCCGAAUGGGGCAACCCAAUGUAUAGAGAUAUACAUUACCUAUAUAGGAGCGAACGAGGGGAAUUGAAACAUCUUAGUACCCUCAGGAAAAGAAAUCAAUAGAGAUUGCGUCAGUAGCGGCGAGCGAAAGCGCAAGAGGGCAAACCCAGUGCUUGCACUGGGGGUUGUAGGACUGCAAUGUGCAAGAGGUAAGUUUAGCAGAACAUUCUGGAAAGUAUAACCAUAGAGGGUGAUAGUCCCGUAUGCGAAAAACAAACCUUAGCUAGCAGUAUCCUGAGUAGGGCGGGACACGAGGAAUCCUGUCUGAAUCCGGGUCGACCACGAUCCAACCCUAAAUACUAAUACCAGAUCGAUAGUGCACAAGUACCGUGAGGGAAAGGUGAAAAGAACUGAGGUGAUCAGAGUGAAAUAGAACCUGAAACCAUUUGCUUACAAUCAUUCAGAGCCCUAUGUAGCAAUACAGGGUGAUGGACUGCCUUUUGCAUAAUGAGCCUGCGAGUUGUGGUGUCUGGCAAGGUUAAGCAAACGCGAAGCCGUAGCGAAAGCGAGUCUGAAUAGGGCGCUUAGUCAGAUGCUGCAGACCCGAAACGAAGUGAUCUAUCCAUGAGCAAGUUGAAGCUAGUGUAAGAACUAGUGGAGGACUGAACCCAUAGGCGUUGAAAAGCCCCGGGAUGACUUGUGGAUAGGGGUGAAAGGCCAAUCAAACUUCGUGAUAGCUGGUUCUCUCCGAAAUAUAUUUAGGUA
rnacentral:rRNA from 1 species